CACAUGUGGCGAGGGCUAGCUACCAUGCCAUGGAUAGGCCCGGAAGUGCGACACAGUUAUGUUGUUCUUGAUGAAGAACGAGGAGUCAUGGCACACAUAAUUGAAGUAUUUUGAUCAGUGCUUGACAGUUUCAUCUCUGGAAGACUUUACGAUUUCAGGCAAUCGUCGAAUGAGUGUGUUAGCCUGUGACAAGACGGAUAUGUGGAUCCAUUGUGUUCGGAAUGCCAUGCUGGCUGCCUUGUCUGCAAUGCAGCCAUUUGAAGGUGGUUCUGUACGCAGGAGAUCUACGAAAUAGCAAGCGUCUGCCACCUGUCCAAGGAAACAAUCAAGAUGCCUCGCAGCCCCUGUACACUCAAUCUGCAAAGUUUCUAAUAAAUAAGUCCAAUUUCAAUG